rnacentral:tRNA from 1 species
GCGGAUGUGGCGGAAUUGGUAGACGCGCAUGAUUCAGGUUCAUGUGGGCUAACGCCCGUGGGAGUUCGAGUCUCCCUUUCCGCACCA